rnacentral:rRNA from 1 species
GCUACGACCACACCGGCCUGAGUACGCCUGAUCUCGUCUGAUCUCGGAAGCUAAGCAGGGUCGGGCCUGUUAGUACUUGGAUGGGCGACCGCCUGGGAAUACCAGGUGCUGUAAGCU